AUUGAACGCUGGCGGAAUGCUUUACACAUGCAAGUCGAACGGUAGAGGGGGCAACCCCUCGAGAGUGGCGAACGGGUGAGUAAUAUAUCGGAACGUGCCCAGUCGUGGGGGAUAACGUAGCGAAAGUUACGCUAAUACCGCAUACGAUCUAAGGAUGAAAGCGGGGGACCGUAAGGCCUCGCGCGAUUGGCGCGGCCGAUAUCAGAUUAGGUAGUUGGUGAGGUAAAGGCUCACCAAGCCAACGAUCUGUAGCUGGUCUGAGAGGACGACCAGCCACACUGGAACUGGGACACGGUCCAGACUCCUACGGGAGGCAGCAGUGGGGAAUUUUGGACAAUGGACGCAAGUCUGAUCCAGCCAUUCCGCGUGCAGGAUGAAGGCCCUCGGGUUGUAAACUGCUUUCGUACGGAACGAAAAGGUCUCUCCUAAUACGAGGGGCUCAUGACGGUACCGUAAGAAUAAGCACCGGCUAACUACGUGCCAGCCGCCGCAGUAA
rnacentral:rRNA from 1 species